GAUCCCCUCAAUCAAUCAUUGGCAUUUCGGAGAUUACUUAUGCCGGGCAUGGAAUGAACAUGCAACAGUGGAGGGAGUCAUGCACGUUCGUUAUGAAGGUGAGAAAGCACGGAGUGGAGGCAAGACAGGAACAUUCUCCGGCACUCCUGUAAUCAUUGCCGUAAUCAUUGCUAUUUACUUCCUGCUGCUGAUCAUUGUACUGGUGGCGAGGUGCAAAGGAGAUUCUGCAGACACUGGAAAUCCAGAGGAACCGGCACAAAAGGCUGGAGGAACUCAGCAGUGAAAUUGGAAUUCGACUCGUUUUGACCUCACUUUUGAAAAAGCCUUGACUUAAAAUGUUGUGGAAAAUGAAGGGCUCGUUGAUCUUGACUGCGCUUGGAACCUGGGAAAUAAUUUGUGGGAUCGCUGCUGGUGGGAAUGAUUGAACAGUGUGUGAACAGCUACCCUGACAUCGACUGGAGGAGACAUGGUUCCAAACUCUGGAAUCCAUUGUUGGAUUGUGCUGUAGAAUGGCUGCUCUUCCUGUAGUUUAAAUUUCUUCUGCUUAUUUGUAUUUUUAGAUACUCAUCAUAUCAAUGUUAUAGUUUAGUGAGCUUUCCAGUGCCUUCAGUGCACCUGCAUCUUUCUGAAAACUAACUAGUUUUACUGGCCGGUAUUGAAUUACUCGAACAGAGGCAAUCUCAUUGGUUAAUUUAAACAAUGAAAUGUAUGCUGUCAGUAGUCUGGUAUAAGAAGACCAGACCAUAUUCUUUUAUGGUUUCUUUUCUUUUUGCUCUUUAUUUUUCUUUGUUCUUGUAACACUUAAUAAAAGAAUCAGAAGCAAUAA